CAGUAGCCGCGGGAAUACAGAGGGUGCAAGCGUUAAUCGGAAUUACUGGGCGUAAAGGGCGCGUAGGCGGCAAGGUGUGUGUGAUGUGAAAGCCCCGGGCUUAACCUGGGAAGUGCAUCGCAAACUACCUAACUAGAGUAUAUGAGAGGGUGGCGGAAUUUCCGGUGUAGCGGUGAAAUGCGUAGAGAUCGGAAGGAACGUCAAUGGCGAAGGCAGCCACCUGGCAUAAUACUGACGCUGAGGCGCGAAAGCGUGGGGAGCGAACAGGAUUAGAUACCCCGGUAGUCCCUGUCUCUUAUAC
rnacentral:rRNA from 1 species